rnacentral:rRNA from 1 species
UGGGGAAUAUUGCACAAUGGGCGCAAGCCUGAUGCAGCCAUGCCGCGUGAGUGAAGAAGGCCCUAGGGUUGUAAAGCUCUUUCACCGGUGACGAUAAUGACGGUAACCGGAGAAGAAGCCCCGGCUAACUCCGUGCCAGCAGCCGCGGUAAUACGGAGGGGGCUAGCGUUGUUCGGAAUCACUGGGCGUAAAGCGCGCGUAGGCGGACUGGUCAGUCAGGGGUGAAAUCCCGGGGCUUAACCCCGGAACUGCCUUUGAUACUGCCAGUCUUGAGUCCGGGAGAGGUGAGCGGAAUUCCGAGUGUAGAGGUGAAAUUCGUAGAUAUUCGGAAGAACACCAGUGGCGAAGGCGGCUCACUGGCCCGGUACUGACGCUGAGGUGCGAAAGCGUGGGGAGCAAACAGGAUUAGAUACCCGUGUAGUCC